GACUGAGGCCCCGAGCGUUAGGCGGAAUCACUGGGCUUAAAGCGUGUGUAGGCGGAAGCGUAAGUGUCUUGUGAAAUCCCACGGCUCACCCGUGGAACCGCUGGGCAUACUGCGCUUCUUGGGCCGUUCAGGGGCGACUGGAACAAGCGGUGGAGCGGUGAAAUGCGUAGAUAUGCGGAGGAACACCGAUGGCGAAGGCAAUCCCCUGGGCCUGCACUGACGCUCAUGCACGAAAGCGUGGGGAGCAAACAGG
rnacentral:rRNA from 1 species